CGCCCUCUGAGUGAAAAAUUUCCCCCAACAUCUAAUUUGACAAGCUUAAAAAACGUUUCGAAGCAAAAAUCACAAAAGGAGGGAUUCACAGUGAGACUGCAUCAGAGUUAGUAGACAAGCCGGUAUCUAAAGGAUAAAAAAAUUAAACCUAAUAGUAAAAAUUCAAAGGCUUUCCUUUUACAAAAUGUUUUUCCAAAGUAGUGAAAAGAUUGGAAACCACACAGCUCCCUCUGAAGAGGCAGCUGUAAUGUUCCAAUAUACCUCAAGGGAAGGAUGAGAAGAACUUCUCGUAAAUCUUGUUUAUUUAGCACAAUUUUACUCACAGUGUCUAAAAGUGUUAAACUAAUAUCUAAAUGCUGCACAGGGGUUACAGAAAAUAAUAGCAUAUGCCUCCAAUGGACGUUAAGUGAUCUACUCCAGCCCAGUUUUACUGUAGCUGCAUGAACCUUGGAGCUGUAGGCUGCAGCUUCCUUACUUUGGGCAAGAUAAGAAAGAACGGGUUUUUUUUUUUUUUUUUUUUUUUCAGAAGAAGAAACUGGCAUUUGCUGAUAAGAAUUAUUCUUUUUCUAACUCUUGAAUUUGUAUGUAGGGCCAGGUAAAAUGAAUUACGUAUAAUGAACAAGGGCAGCUACAAGUGAAUAUCAGAGGGACCAGAGAAAACAGCAUGUAUAUCUGCUCCAAGCUUUUUGCAUUGGUGGAGAGCCACUAACACACAGAGCAGAAAUAGUACAUGAAGGCUCGUGACUUGUUCUAUGUUCUCAUUAGCUUCAGCUGUUUAGUAAAUAGACUGUUCUUAGCCUGGCAAGUGGAUUUUUUUUUUUUUUUUUUUUGCACUCAUUUAUCUUGAGCCAAGUAGUAGAUAGCAAUCUAUCUUGAAGACAGUCAGUUCUAGAUGCACUGCAGAAAGACAGAGGGAAUUCCUUUCUUCUUGGCAGUAGGUUUUAUGAAAGUGCAUAGACUGAACACGUCUGACUAUGUGCCAUGCUGGCAUAAGUAAAGGAUAGAAUGGCUGAAGUUUCUCCAAGCAUUACCUGCAGUCAUAUUUGAAAUUAUUUUGUCCAAGUUGCUUUUCAUUUAAUUCUCAUCAUAUACUGUGAUACCUGUAUGACUGUGGACGUACAUCAGCACGUCUUUGGCUUAUUGUUUAUAGCUGAUUUAUCCAGAAUCUGCAUGUAUGUUUUGUGGAGGCAUCCUUAGCCACGUAGGACUGUGUGACGGUGCUCUAAAGAGACUACAAGGAGCUGCCUCCAUGGAAUUCAGAUGUAAACUUUUCUGGCACAAGACUUAAAGGGCAUAAAACUUGCCUGUUUGUGAAAUUAUGUACACUUACCCACACUGAGAACAUUUAGAUAGUUGGUUUCUACUGAGCUUUGUUAUCCCACAUAUGUUCUUCUGCUGGAGCCUUUCAUGUCAGAAAACCUUUGAAGAGUGGGAGUAGCUCUUUAAAUUUAUCUGGAAGCAGUGGGGUUUCUUUUACAAUUGGCUGUUGCUGCUCACGUCGUUUUAUUUCAAGGUAGUAAAUGCUAUGAAUGUCAGAUUUUCAUGAAAAGGUAAGACAUACUAUCCAUAAAUUUCCGACACAGUAUCAACUUCUGCUCAUUCAACAUUUUCCUUCCUUUAGCAUCUCUUCCAAAGUUGGAAAAUGCAAUUUAUGCAUCAAUGUCGUUUCUAACAUAUUUGAUGCUGAGUGUCAGAAUCCUACUUAUCUUGUAGCAAGUUGUAAAACGUUAGCUCUUUACACAAAGGCACAGAUGUUCUUACAGCUUCCCUGUGUACUGUACUUUUAGAGACGUACCAUAUACUCUACCGAAGACCAUAUUUUUUCUGUCGAGAUCAUCUCCUCCUUGUGAAUCAGAACGGGAAAGCAAAGAAGCUCUUGGAAGCUCAAGGAAGAACAUCUUGCCCUUAGUUUCUUGAAAAGGUAUUUGUUCGUUCCAAAGACAUGCACGUGAACUCCUCAGGUCUGUUGCAUUUUGUUUGUUUUCCCACUUAUUAUUUCUGAUCACUCCUCUCAAAAUGCUCUGAACUGAGCUCUCCAGGAUGUAAGCAGUGAUGCUGGAGGAGUGCCCUCACAUAAGGACUGAAAAGGACAGUGAAAUCACUUGAAGCCACAGAGCAGCUAAAGUUCGAGAGAUUAUUUAGAGGUACUGUUCUUGGGGAUAUUAAAUGCUCAAAAUAGAACAUAAAACAUUUUUUUCAUAUUUCUAGUCGGAACAACUGUUCCCUGAAAUAAUGAUAUAUAUAUAUAUCAUGGUGAAGCACAGUACAGCAGUUACAGAAUCAGCUCUCGGAGCACCACGAAGACAGAGUACAGUUACAAGCAUUAGAGGCUGGCAUGUUAACCACCCCACGAGAAUGCAGCACAAGCUACAGCAAUCAAACAGAACACAAGGCACAUACUUUAGCUCUCAGCUGCUUCACCAAACCAGCACGGCUGCUUUCAGCCGCAAAGCCAAGUGGCUGUAUGGCAUGGCACAGCACGCAGCACUCCCAAGCCUCCCAUUAGGAUAAACACACUCCCACGGAGCACACAUGCAAAACACAGCACUCCCAAGCCUCUCUCCAACUUCUGUUUAAAUCUUCCCUGCUACUUUAUGAUUGCUUAUUAAAUGUUGCAUUUCAUAAGCAGGAUGAUCGCAGUAUCUGUCAUCCUGCCCUUGAUCUGUAUUAGUCCCACAUUGUUCAUGAGGGGCUGCCAUGCAAUUGCUAAGGUAGGUUCCCCCCAGGGUUGCUAACUGUGCCAGGGCCAGGCCUUGCUUAACAGGUUCUGUAAGAGAGCAACAUGAAGAUGCAAGCAAGUGAAACUACUUUUUACAUUCCCUCUAAAUUAGCAUGUUAAUAUGUUGGAUGCUGUGCUUUGCAUUUUCCCUCCUGCAAGUCUUUGCAGAUUAUAGAAAGCAGUAGUUAAUCUUUCAAAAGAGCAAAAAAAUAUUCUUCCCAAUUCCUUAUGUGCUUGUUUCAUCCUACAGAGUUAAAUUGGAAUUUAACAACAUUAAUAUCCUUACAACAGAAAUCCAUAGCAUAGCAACUAAACAACAUUUAAUCCUUCAUUUGGUUCUUUAGGUUUCUUUUGCAAUUUCUACAGCUGUCCUUCCUGCAAUUUUUCCUGUGAGAUGCCAAGAAUAAUAUUCCCCAUACAAUCUGCUGUUUUAAUUGUUGAGAAUCUCACUGCCAUUUUGAAUUAAAUACAUAAACAUGCUAAAACAUAAGGUUCUUACCUUGCUGAUCUUAACAGCCUUCCCUUAGAAGGACAGCUGCUUCUCCUUCCCCUGCCUGGUGGACCCCUUACACCACCUCCCUUACCUCUCAGAUUUCUGAUGUUAGUUGAGCUGCUGGUAACAGCAACAAUACUAGGAACACGGGAGAAUGAGAGAGUGAAGGGCAGUUACUGAGGGUGAUAUUAGAAUGAUACUGGCUGAGGAUUCAGUUGUUCUGCUGUGAAUAUUCUGUGGGUGCAGAGGUGCUGCAGACAAAAAAGCUGGACAACCUCCAGCCACAAGGGUUCGCACAUUCAGAGGGAGACAUUGAAGAAAACUCACUCAACAGACUGUGUUACUCUUAUCCUCAUGGCUUGCUUUCUCCCAUUGCCCAUGACAGAAUAAACAGCCGCCCCACUGAGCUGAAGAAUGCACAGACGCAUUAUGGGGCUGGGGGUAUCAGCCUGUGAUACAGAGGGGAAACAAGAGGAAGACAGAACAUGGAGCUGGCAUCUAAACAUCCUGUACCUUACCUUGUGACUCACUGAAAGUUGCCUUGAUCUCUGUUGCAGAAGCUGCUUCCAAGGAUGAAACCCUCUGAUUUAGAAGGGAAAUUCAGAAGGAUUUUUAAUAGUGAAGAAAACAGGAAGGGAUGACAUGGGAGGUAAUUGAUAUCACACAUUGAUCAAGGAACAUCUGAAACUGUAGAAAGGCUAACAGAAGUAUUUGGCUAAAUCUAAGAUAGUCCAAAAGAUGACUACACUGUAAAGUCAGUCCAUCGUACUACUAAUGUAACGAAUCCUGUGUCACAGAGCUGUUUUUCCCAUUCUAAUAUGCAUUAAAUACAAAAUCCAUUGAUCAGUACUGUUAGUAGUGACUCCUGCUUGACUGACAAGUAACACUGUGUUACUGGAGCGCCUCUUCCAUACAACCUUUUAAGUCAAAUGUUCUCUAGUUAUGGAUGUUCAGUUCUUGGUGUACAACAGGUUCUAGCUGACUUCCACUGAAUUCAUCAUCUACCAGUAAUUCUGCUCUUUAAAAAUAAAUCAGAUUCUUUCCUUUCCACAUACCCAAUCUUUGCAUUACUAUUUCACUCGUACACAUUCCCUCCAUGCUCUGUUGGCAGAUGGACUUCGUCUUUUUCACUGAAUAUUGACAAAGGGCUGAAUUUCCUCACAAGACUGGUAAUGAGUACAGUAUGUGAAGUAAAUGCAAUAAAAUACCAAGUUUUAUAAAAGCACAUGUAGUCUGGCAAGUGCUGGUUUCUCUUCAGCGCCUGUUUCCUAUCAUGAAUUUUGACUGUGUGAGCCAGAAAUGCACGCAGAUCUUCCUGCCUCUUCUGAAGUUUAUACACUGGGACUGAAUGAAUGCCCAUUUCUUCAUAUUGUUCAUCCAGUAAUCCACCUUCAGCAAUAAACUAACGUACAGGUAUGAGUUGCUGGUGACAAAACUAUAAAGUUGCAGAAUAUAGCUAGUUGGUGUAGAACCAAAUAAAACGGCAGUGUCCUUUUCACUGAAUGCAAACUCUGGGUUUUCACCCUUGUUAAAAAAUGGAUUUGUAGUAAAACAAAAAAUUCUUGCCCCCUCUCCUCCCCUAAAAGAAGAAAACCACCACAAAUAUUGACUUUGAGCGAAAGAAAUAACUGGUAUCAGUAAUAAUAUUGUCAGGGGCUGAGACAGCUUCUUAUGAAGGAAGUUCAUGCUUAGUUCUGACAAUUGAGCAAAAAAUUAAUCAAUCAGUUUGCAUUCAUAGGGCUCCAUUUCAAUUCUUUCUCGAAUGAUUUGCUUUAUAAAAAUUGAAACAACUGACUUUGCUUGUUAAGCAAAACAUCAAAUAAUGCAGAUUUGGCAUUUGUUUCUCAGCAUUAACGCAAUCUUACAUUUUUCUGUCCUCAGGUAUGAAACUUAAAUCACAGCCCCCGACGCUUCCUGUUGGUACUGCUAUAUCCACUGCAGGGUUUUUGUGGAAUUCCAGUUUGUUAUUUCAAUAUUUUUCUUUUGCCCAUUUCCUUUGAAACCAUCUUUGCAAACGGAAACCAUAAGUAUACUUCGGCAGGAGCUCCUUACUUUAACAACAGAACAAAAAAAGCCACCUGAAUCAGAAACAGUUUUCUGACACAAGGGAAAUGCAGAGGGAAGAGGUUGCAACCUCUUUCCAUUCUGUACUUUGCUGCUCUUUCCGUCAGCUCUAAGAGCCUGCUAUCAACUGUUCCACCUACCUUACUAAGAUAUUGCUUAAACACUGUUCUUGGGUGUCUUCAUUUUCUUACAUCUGCUGCUUUCCUUGUAACUGUUGCACAAGGGAGUCUGUAUAUUGUUAUCUGAAGUGUGUAUCUGAAAUAAGUCUGCUAUUUCCUCCCGAUUGUGGCAAUUAAGCUGUUAGCCGAUCGUCUGGAGGGGAAAGUAUGUUCCCCUGGGGCUGCAAGGACACAGGAGAUGUACAUUACAUUACCACAAUUCUAAAGAUAUGAAAUAGCACACAGGAUUGUGCAGUAAAAGGAACAAAUUAACAAGAACACGCUUUGAAAUACUACACUCAAUAUAGAAUCAUAGAAUCACAGAAUGGCCUGAGUUGAAAAGGACCACAAUGAUCAUCGAGUUUCAACUCCCCUGCUAUGUGCAGGGCCGCCAACCACCAGACCAGGCUGCCCAGAGCCACAUCCAGC
ensembl:lncRNA